GCGGGUGUGGCGGAAUUGGCAGACGCGCUAGAUUUAGGUUCUAGUGGCAAAACCGUGCAGGUUCAAGUCCUGUCACCCGCACCA
rnacentral:tRNA from 1 species